rnacentral:hammerhead_ribozyme from 1 species
AUCCAGUUGACGAGUCCCAAAUAGGACGAAACACACUUCCUGGGU